UUUCUUUUAAUUUCUGAUGGUGCUCAGACAGUAUUGCUUUGAAAUGAAUAAAACUAUUUAAGUUAAUAAAAGCACAGCUGAUACUAUAGAUAGAUUUAAAUGAUCUGGGACACUGAAGACAUCGUGCACCUUAUGUAAUUUAAUCACCAGAAGAAUUUAAAAAGGAGAGGCCUGUGCCUGGUAUCAGUUCUUGUGGGAAAAUAUGCUUCAUUGACUUACUGGCACUGUUUUGGAAUGUGGCAUUUAAAAGUACCUUUUUACAGUGGGAAAGAAUUUGGUCAAGAAUAAACAGUCUGACCUUGUUAAAUGGACCAAAGUCACUGUAUAACCCAGUUCCAGAAAACUAGUUUCCAUCAGUCUGUGAAAAAACCAUCAGUUUAUGAAAAAUGCAACUAGAUUUUCUAGAGAAAAAAUUACGUUGAUUGAACAGAGUAGGUGAAACCACUCCAUUUUUCCAAUAUGGACUUCCCUGAUUUGUUGGAAGUUGGUUUUGAAGUUUAAAUAUGGUUUGAACUGUGAUUUCAGAGGACAUUAAAAGCUCUUUACAUUGAAAAGUGUCAUACAGUGUAGCCAGAUUAAUUCAAGUCAUUUAGGGAAUAAGUGAACGAUUUUCAACAGAAAUCAAGACCAUUUGUACUACUGUCAAUAUCCAAAGAUGUAAAACCUUUGAGUUUGUAGAAAAACUGUAUUUAAACUAUAAACUAAGUCUUAAACACAAAGCUUGUAAUUUGAUUACCAAGGACCUUUUGAUACAAAUGAAAAAGAAAAUUAUGCCACUUUGGUUUUAGCUUCAAAUUGUGCUGAUGGGAAACUGGCAUGGUAAACCUCUACAAUAAUACUGAAUCUCCAUGCUGUGAAAUCCUAGCUUCCAUGCAGUUGAUGAAAAACAUCCUUUUAACUUCACUGUGGCCAGAAUUUCAUUCCAGGUUUUCAUAAUCUGUUUGAAAAAUACAAACACAUUCUAUGAACAAAUAUUCAAGCUGCUUUGGAGGAGUGGAGUAUACAAAGAACAACAAGGACUUUGGGGAAUGGUAUUGAUAUAAGUGCCUAUCCAGUCCAUGGUUUUGGGCACACAAUUCUCAUUGGUACGUUGUAGAACACAACUCCUUUUUUCUUUUUGACAUGACAGUGACAAGUUAACAUAUUAAAACCCUUAAGGCCUGACCAAUAAUCCAUUCUUUUAAUGCAAAAGAGAAUGAAAAAUCUUCUGAUGGCUCAAAAAUGUGAAAUAGCAUUGAAAGACAUUGUUUAACAAUACUUUUGAGUACAUAUUCUAAAACUGUAGUACUCAGUUGAGAAUUAUUGCUGCAUAAAAAUAAAAAUGUAUCCAUAACUUCAGUUAUCAGCAGAACUACGGAGAGUUGUAUUUCCAUGCUAUAAAAUGAAAUUUGAUGCAAGCAGUAAUUGAUACAACUGUUAAAAAACAGUUUACAUAAAACGAGUGAAUUUAAGAAAAAAAUAUGUUUGCAUCAGGUAAAUUCAGAUUAAAAAUUAGGUGUAUACAUUAGGUUUUGACAAGUUUGAAUAAAGAAUCUGUAUUAAACCAGAGAAGAAAGCCUGUCUCAAUGUAAACACUGUUUUCAGUUUUUAUAGUCAAUGUAAACAUCUUCUGAAGUUAGCCUGAGUUUCCUGAAGUCUGUCCUGCUCUACUUUGUGUUUACAACAUCAGCUAUAUAUUUACCCUGCAGAGAUUUUUUGAGGCCCUCGAGGGGGUGGAGUUCCCACCCUGCUGUGAGGAGGCUCUGUGCAUUUUCUAUGUAUAGUCACAUGUGACAUCGCCUUCUGCACUGCUUCAGCAUCGAGCAUCGAGUUUUGAAAACGGAAGUCAUACACAGCCGGGUGUGUGCACACAUUAUCCCAUCCUGUAAUUUUGGACAUUAACUCACAAAAAAAAAAAAAAAAAGGACAAAACUACAGCAGUUCUUAGAAUUUACAAGCAGUGAUAGAUACUUUCAUCCCCCAACUGUGACUUUUUUUUUUUUUUACUUUAUGUGUACAUGUUCUUGUUUCCCCUCUGUUCUCAGUACUGUUUGUCAUUCAGAUCGAUCCAGUAGCUCUGGCCUCACCUUUUUAAAGACAUUUGGUUCUUGAGAAUGGAUUCACCAGGAAAGGAUUAAGGAGCUAUUUUUUACCCUUGUCUACGUCAUUAGUGUGCAGCAUAAUGUGCAAAGAUCAAGUUGUCUGAGAGGGGAACUGCUGUGCCUAUGUAGAACUUACUUUUCCUGCAGCUGGUACACUGCAACUGUAAUCUGAUCCUCACACUAUUAGCAAGUUAAAUGUGUAAAUCCUUCCAAAACUUCUAGAUCCAGACUGAACUGAGGAAGCUAUUAGACUGACUCGAAAUAAAAAAGUUAUGAUAAGUGGAUGCUAAUUCUUCUUUAUAUUGAGUAACUUAUAUCACUUUGUGUCCUGUUACCCUUCAUGCUGAGUACUUGCUAGUAAUUUUUUCUUAUUCUUUUCAUGCCAAGGGAGGAAAUAAAAUUUUAGUAAGAGGACUGUUAAUAUCUUCCCAUAUCAUAGGCAGUCAAAAAUGCACAAAAUGCCUGAGUCUUUCUUAGUCAUA